rnacentral:rRNA from 1 species
UUUAUAUGAGAGUUUGAUCCUGGCUCAGGAUGAACGCUGGCGGCGUGCCUAAUACAUGCAAGUCGAACGAGUUCUCGUUGG